rnacentral:rRNA from 1 species
GAUUGAACGCUGGCGGCAUGCCUUACACAUGCAAGUCGAACGGCAGCACGGGUGCUUGCACCUGGUGGCGAGUGGCGAACGGGUGAGUAAUACAUCGGAACAUGUCCUGUAGUGGGGGAUAGCCCGGCGAAAGCCGGAUUAAUACCGCAUACGAUCUACGGAUGAAAGCGGGGGACCUUCGGGCCUCGCGCUAUAGGGUUGGCCGAUGGCUGAUUAGCUAGUUGGUGGGGUAAAGGCCUACCAAGGCGACGAUCAGUAGCUGGUCUGAGAGGACGACCAGCCACACUGGGACUGAGACACGGCCCAGACUCCUACGGGAGGCAGCAGUGGGGAAUUUUGGACAAUGGGCGAAAGCCUGAUCCAGCAAUGCCGCGUGUGUGAAGAAGGCCUUCGGGUUGUAAAGCACUUUUGUCCGGAAAGAAAUCCUUGGCUCUAAUACAGUCGGGGGAUGACGGUACCGGAAGAAUAAGCACCGGCUAACUACGUGCCAGCAGCCGCGGUAAUACGUAGGGUGCGAGCGUUAAUCGGAAUUACUGGGCGUAAAGCGUGCGCAGGCGGUUUGCUAAGACCGAUGUGAAAUCCCCGGGCUCAACCUGGGAACUGCAUUGGUGACUGGCAGGCUAGAGUAUGGCAGAGGGGGGUAGAAUUCCACGUGUAGCAGUGAAAUGCGUAGAGAUGUGGAGGAAUACCGAUGGCGAAGGCAGCCCCCUGGGCCAAUACUGACGCUCAUGCACGAAAGCGCGGGGAGCAAACAGGAUUAGAUACCCUGGUAGUCCACGCCCUAAACGAUGUCAACUAGUUGUUGGGGAUUCAUUUCCUUAGUAACGUAGCUAACGCGUGAAGUUGACCGCCUGGGGAGUACGGUCGCAAGAUUAAAACUCAAAGGAAUUGACGGGGACCCGCACAAGCGGUGGAUGAUGUGGAUUAAUUCGAUGCAACGCGAAAAACCUUACCUACCCUUGACAUGGUCGGAAUCCCGCUGAGAGGUGGGAGUGCUCGAAAGAGAACCGGCGCACAGGUGCUGCAUGGCUGUCGUCAGCUCGUGUCGUGAGAUGUUGGGUUAAGUCCCGCAACGAGCGCAACCCUUGUCCUUAGUUGCUACGCAAGAGCACUCUAAGGAGACUGCCGGUGACAAACCGGAGGAAGGUGGGGAUGACGUCAAGUCCUCGUGGCCCUUAUGGGUAGGGCUUCACACGUCAUACAAUGGUCGGAACAGAGGGUUGCCAACCCGCGAGGGGGAGCUAAUCCCAGAAAACCGAUCGUAGUCCGGAUUGCACUCUGCAACUCGAGUGCAUGAAGCUGGAAUCGCUAGCAAUCGCGGAUCAGCAUGCCGCGGUGAAUACGUUCCCGGGUCUUGUACUCACCGC